UGGGGAAUAUUGGGCAAUGGGGGUAACCCUGACCCAGCGGCGCCGCGUGGGGGAAGACGGCCUUCGGGUUGUAAACCUCUUUUGUACGGGAAGAAGGAAGUGACGGUACUGUACGAAUAAGUCCGGGCUAACUACGUGCCAGCAGCCGCGGUAAUACGUAGGGGACGAGCGUUGUCCGGAAUUACUGGGCGUAAAGGGCGCGCAGGCUGUGCUGCAAGUCAGCUGUUAAAUGUCUGGGCUUAACCCGGGCAUGCGGUUGAGACUGCGGUGCUGGAGUGCUGUAGAGGCAAGUGGAAUUCCCAGUGUAGCGGUGAAAUGCGUAGAUAUUGGGAAGAACACCGGUGGCGAAGGCGACUUGCUGGGCAGCAACUGACGCUGGGCGCGAAAGCCAGGGGAGCAAACGG
rnacentral:rRNA from 1 species